rnacentral:rRNA from 1 species
GCCAGCAGCCGCGGUAAUACGGAGGGUGCAAGCGUUAAUCGGAAUUACUGGGCGUAAAGCGCACGCAGGCGGUUGGAUAAGUUAGAUGUGAAAGCCCCGGGCUCAACCUGGGAAUUGCAUUUAAAACUGUCCAGCUAGAGUCUUGUAGAGGGGGGUAGAAUUCCAGGUGUAGCGGUGAAAUGCGUAGAGAUCUGGAGGAAUACCGGUGGCGAAGGCGGCCCCCUGGACAAAGACUGACGCUCAGGUGCGAAAGCGUGGGGAGCAA